rnacentral:sRNA from 1 species
CACACACACACACACACACUUUCAUUUACUUUCAAGACUGGGCUGUGAUAAUGUGAUGUAGUCAUGUGAUACAAUGACGUUGGGACCUUGGGGAAGCACCCUGAAGUGUGCCCACUAUAACCGGAGCACAUUGUCAUCAACUAGUGAAUGAGUAUUCAGGAAAAUGAGUGCAAGGGUAAUCGCUUGUGCACUGUGUAAAAACAUCAUUUGUCAAUAAAAAGCUGAAUGGCCAAUAGCAAAGCAGGAGAGAAUAGGCAGGACUUCCGGGAAGAGAUAGGAACUCUGGGAAAGAGUCAGGCGUGGGAGAUUGGCCACAGGGAUGGGCAGAAGUCUGUCGCGUGAAACUGAGGAGGUAACCAGCUGUGUGGCAGAAUUUAGACUAGUAUAGACAGACACACACACACACACUUUCAUUUACUUUCAAGACUGGGCUGUGAUAAUGUGAUGUAGUCAUGUGAUACAAUGACGUUGGGACCUUGGGGAAGCACCCUGAAGUGUGCCCACUAUAACCGGAGCACAUUGUCAUCAACUAGUGAAUGAGUAUUCAGGAAAAUGAGUGCAAGGGUAAUCGCUUGUGCACUGUGUAAAAACAUCAUUUGUCAAUAAAAAGCUGAAUGGCCAAUAGCAAAGCAGGAGAGAAUAGGCAGGACUUCCGGGAAGAGAUAGGAACUCUGGGAAAGAGUCAGGCGUGGGAGAUUGGCCACAGGGAUGGGCAGAAGUCUGUCGCGUGAAACUGAGGAGGUAACCAGCUGUGUGGCAGAAUUUAGACUAGUAUAGACAGGGAACUGGGGCGGAUGGAGAAAAGCCCAAACUUUUGCAAAUGAGCGACACAUCUCUUCACCUGAACAUUGUGACCGCUAAGCUGAAAGGUCUGAAUGCUGAAUAGGUUUGCUGAACACAGUUGCCAAGUCAACAAGAAAACCACGCACGGCUUCUGAAAAUCUGUCCAGUGCUCUGAGCAGAGGGCCCCGCAGGCUUCUUUGUGUUCUCAUCUGUGUUUUCUGGCCCUUUCUUGGGGGUUACAAUUCAUUUCUUCCUGAACAUCAGACUCACAGUUGAGAAUAUUCGUUGGAAACUGCACUGAAGUGCUUCGGACUCCGGCAGACCUCCAGCCCAUGGGCAAACGAUUUUCCUGACUCAUCUGGUUCUGAUGCCCUCCGUAUGAGUGUGGGUUUGGCAAAAGCUCCUGAAGCCUCCGUUGUGAUUUUAUUUCUAGGAUUAUUCCUCUAAAGAAGGAUUGCAGGUGAGCUGUGGGGAUGCAGGCAUGGAGUGUUGUAGGUCAAUAAAUCAUUGAAGAUGGUGGGGAUAACCUGCAGGUGAUAACACCUGACACUCCACAGUUACAGCAUGUGACCCUUAACCCCUGACCUCUUCUGGGUCAAAAGUAGGGCUUUUGGCUCCUUCUGUUUGUUUGUUUCUCCUCUUCCUUCUAGAACUCUGUGGAGUACACAGAACACCCUUGGGAAAUAUCUGCUACCAAGUGGAUGAAGUGGUGUUUUCCACGUCACCCAUCUCAAAUAUCCUUAUUUCUGUUCGUCUCUUACCAUUUUUAUUCUUAUUUUUUUUUUAAGAUUUAUUUAUUGUAUGUG